rnacentral:rRNA from 1 species
AAACCAACAGGGAUUGCCUCAGUAACGGCGAGUGAAGCGGCAAAAGCUCAAAUUUGAAAUCUGGCGCAAGCCCGAGUUGUAAUUUGAAGACUGUGCUUUGGGACCGGCUCUUGUCUAUGUUCCUUGGAACAGGACGUCACAGAGGGUGAGAAUCCCGUGCGAUGAGAAGCCCGGCCCCGUGUAAAGCCACGUCGACGAGUCGAGUUGUUUGGGAAUGCAGCUCUAAGUGGGUGGUAAAUUCCAUCUAAAGCUAAAUAUUGGCGAGAGACCGAUAGCGAACAAGUACAGUGAUGGAAAGAUGAAAAGAACUUUGAAAAGAGAGUGAAAAAGUACGUGAAAUUGUUGAAAGGGAAGGGCUUGAGAUCAGACUUGCCGUUGCAGUUUACUGCGGCGGUGGGCCAGCAUCGGUUCGCACGGUGGGACAAGCGCAGCGGAAUGUGGCUCUGCCUCGGUGGAGUGUUAUAGCCGCUGUCUCUGCCGCCAGUGUGGACCGAGGACUGCGCAUUUGCAAGGAUGCUGGCAUAAUGAUCUUAAGCCGC